UAGUGACCCCGUGUGAGAGAGACAAUCACCUCUGACAGCUUUCGUUUGUUGAUCAACCGUUGGGCAUCGGAUCGAAGUCGGAGAAGGUGUUUUCUGUCCCACUUACGCCUCGCCACCGAUUUCACCUGUACAAUAGGUGCUGCAUACCCAACUUGACAAUUUUGGUGCUAUUAGAUGCCAUUACUUUACUGACUCCAAAAAUGAAGCUUUGAAAGACAAGAAAUUACUCAGCACUUAUGAAUUUGCAUUGGAGAACCUUGCAGUUGUCUGUGAAACUUCACUGACUAGAUGCUUUCCUGAUGAGGGUGAUGUUAAUAAUCUCCCCCUGCUAUCUGCAGCUCUUUAGGGAGGAGGCCCAGGUUCCAAUUCUGGUCCCUGGUAGGCCAAACAGCACUGCAUUAUUGAUGUAACCUAGUGGUUGGGAGCAAUCUUCGUGAGAUGGCUUUAGGGAGCCACCAGGGCUCUACCUGAAAGAGGCAUUUCAUUACAUUCAUUUUAAACUUUAGAUAUACAUUUAGAUCUUUUUG
rnacentral:misc_RNA from 1 species